rnacentral:miRNA from 1 species
AUAGCCUCCGAGAUCCCGAAGCG